rnacentral:rRNA from 1 species
AUUGAACGCUGGCGGCAGGCCUUACACAUGCAAGUCGAGCGAGAGGCGGGCGUGUUAUUACUGUAUGUGCAUCUGCCCGAUAGAGAGCGAUAACUACUGGAAACUGUUGCUACUACCGCAUACUAUCGCAUGAACCCAUAUGGGAUUAGCUAGUAGGUGGGGUACAGGCUCACCUAGGCGACGAUCUCUAGCUGGUCUGAGAGGAUGAUCAGCCACACGGGGACUGAGACACGGCCCAGACUCCUACGGGAGGCAGCAGUGGGGAAUAUUGCACAAUGGGCGCAAGCCUGAUGCAGCCAUGCCGCGUGUAUGAAGAAGGCCUUAGGGUUGUAAAGUACUUUCAGCGGGGAGGCGUUACCCGCAGAAGAAGCACCGGCUAACUCCGUGCCAGCAGCCGCGGUAAUUC